UUCUUUUUUUCGGAUAGCCCAACCCCCAGCUGUCCAAGCCUCUUCUCCACUUGAGCCUCAUCUUCGCACGAGUCUCUUCUCCACACGAGCGUCUUCUCCGCUCCUCUUCUUCCCCACCCGCCUAAGCCUCCUCCAUUCUUCUCCUCCUCUCGGUCGCGCCCCUUUCUUCUCGCCCCUUUUUCUCGAUGCCUAUUUCUCCUCAUCCUCCCUUCUCAGUCAUCCAAGCUGUUGCCAUCGAAAUUGUUCUCCCCUUCCUCCUCCCUUUCUUCUCCCCCCUUCCCCUUCUCUUCCUCCUUCCAAUCGAAGCUGCUCCCAACCAAAGCUACUGUCAUCGAAGCUUCCUCCUCCCAACUGAAGCUGCUGCCAUCGAAGUUGCUUCUCCCGCUUCCUCCUCCUCCUCCUCCUCCUGCCUUUCUUCUUCUCCCUUGUCUUCCUCUCUCUAUCGAAGCUUCCUCCUCCUAACCAAAGUUGCUGCCAUCAAAAGAAACUACAAUCUGGACUUGUGUAAUGGAAGCAAAGCCCCGAGAAUCACUACUUUUAGAGGCACUACCGCUUGAGCCAGAGUUAGAACUACUAUAAAAUUCUGAAGAUGCCACAUCCACUUGUUUAGAACUUUUAGGUACUUCUCAGCAUUGCAAGGUUAGUAUUCUUAGUAAUCUUUUAGAAAAUUUUAUGGAGGUACCUGUAAUUGAUUUUGUUGGAUGUGAUUUAAUUUUUGAUACAUACUCAGUUCAUUCUAAUAUGAUUUUAGUUCUUUUUUAUAUUACAUGCUCGUGGGAGGUGUGCCUUUCUUUUAGGUGUGUAGGUUUUCAUGAGGUCAAUAAUUGGAAGCUCAAUCUAAACCGUCUCUGACCAUUGGAAAGAACUUUCAAGGAGAUGAAGAUGAAGAGCGGUGAUACACUACAUUGCUCUUAUGAUGAUAGCUCUCUUCAUAAUAAUAUGGGUCAUUGGAAGAAAAGUCCAGAAAUUUCUCACUUCGACAAGAUCACGAUUUUGAUGAGCCUAAUAAGGGGUCAAGAUAAUAACCUUAAACAAGCGCUUCUUGGGAGGCAACCCAAGUUUCAAAGUUAUGGAGGAAUGUGAGCAUUAGAUAGAGGAGUAUUUCCAAGCAUAUGGCGUAGCCUUGGAGCUAAUCACUUGGUAUGAAAGUGCACAAGGAUAAUUUAUUGAUCCAUAUCCAUCUUACCAGAAUUCAUAUGGGUUUCAAGAGGUUUCAACAUCUUCUUUGUCACAUCCUUUUCAACAGAACGAACCUCAGAUGGAUGAGUUAACAUGGAAACUCAGGGAGAUUAUGCAACAAAUGAGUGAGCAUCAAGAGCAACAAUUUUCAAGAAUACAGAAUAUACAAAGUCAAUUGGAUCAAAUUGCAUCAUCCAUCAACCAGUUACAAACACAAAGCGUCAGUGAAGAGAUGGAUUGUGGAGAUCUUGUCAGGCCUGACACUACAUCUACUUCUUCACUAGAUUCUUUAAGUACUUUUUAUUGUUGUGAUGAUGUAGUUGAUCAUACUUUUUAUUCUACUGAUAUGGUUGCUUUAGAUGUUGGAAAUGAUGCAGGUAUUGUUGUUGAAGAUGAUUUAAGUGUAGGGGAUAUGCUUACUGGAAGCAUUACCUCAAGAAUCACCAAGAAUUGAGGAUAUAAGUGUAAGAACUUGUGCUAUGGAGCCAAGCACCCAAGAAUCACUACACGAAGUUUAACAUUCAUUAGAAUGAGAGCUUGAGCAUUUACUUGAUGAGGAAGAGGUAACAAUCACCACUACAGGUACCUUUCAACAGAACAAGGUCAGUAUUUCUUGUGAUACAUCAGAAAAUUUAAUAGAGGUACCAAUUAUUGACUUUAUUAGAUGUGAUUCAUUACUUGAUAAAUUUUCUACCCACAUUAAUAUUCUCCUAUUUUCUUCUUAUUCCAUACGCAUAUGGGAGGUGUUUUGCUUUGUUGAUUUUGUAGGAGAACAUAAGCUCCCAGAGUGGAUGCUUGAACUGAACCGCCUCCGUCCUCCAGAAAGACUUUUGAAAGGAAAAAUGAACAAUAAAAUAAUUUUAGUGGAACCACAAUGACACCUCUACUGGUGUGGAUUUUGUUGCUAAAUCUUCUUCGACCACCGGAAUUAAAGGGGAGUUGGUUCCAAUUUCGUUUUCUUAUGCAUUUUAAUUCGUGCUUUGUUAAUAAAUUCUUUG